AUUGAACGCUGGCGGCAGGCCUAACACAUGCAAGUCGAGCGAAGCGGCGGAUGGGUGAGUACCGCGUGGGUAACCUGCCUUUAAGUUUGGGAUACCAUUUGGAAACAGAUGCUAAUACCGGAUCCUAAAGGAUGGACUUGCGGUGCAUUAGCUAGUUGGUAAGGUAACGGCUUACCAAGGCGAUGAUGCAUAGCCGAGUUGAGAGGCUGAUCGGCCACACUGGGACUGAGACACGGCCCAAACUCCUACGGGAGGCAGCAGUAGGGAAUCUUCCACAAUGGACGCAAGUCUGAUGGAGCAACGCCGCGUGAGUGAAGAAGGUUUUCGGAUCGUAAAGCUCUGUUGUUGGUGAAGCGGUAAUCAACCAGAAAGUCACGGCUAACUACGUGCCAGCAGCCGCGGUAAUAC
rnacentral:rRNA from 1 species